rnacentral:rRNA from 1 species
GAUAAACGCUGGCGGCGUGCUUAACACAUGCAAGUCGAACGAAGUUUUUCCUUCGGGAGACACUUAGUGGCGGACGGGUGAGUAACGCGUGGGUAACCUGCCCUGUACAGGGGGACAACAGCUGGAAACGGCUGCUAAUACCGCAUAAGCCCUUAGCACUGCAUGGUGCAUAGGGAAAAGGAGCAAUCCGGUACAGGAUGGACCCGCGUCUGAUUAGCCAGUUGGCAGGGUAACGGCCUACCAAAGCGACGAUCAGUAGCCGAUCUGAGAGGAUGUACGGCCACAUUGGGACUGAGACACGGCCCAGACUCCUACGGGAGGCAGCAGUGGGGAAUAUUGCACAAUGGAGGAAACUCUGAUGCAGCGACGCCGCGUGAGUGAAGAAGUAUUUCGGUAUGUAAAGCUCUAUAAGCAGGGAAGAAAAUGACGGUACCUGACGAAGAAGCACCGGCUAAAUACGUG